rnacentral:rRNA from 1 species
ACUGCCAUACCACAUUGAAAACACCAGUUCUCGUCCGAUCACCAAAGUUAAGCAAUGUCGGGCCCGGUCAGUACUUGGGAGGGUGACCACUUGGGAACACCGGGUGCUGUAGGAU